AACGAACGCUGGCGGCAUGCCUAACACAUGCAAGUCGAACGAGAUCUUCGGGUCUAGUGGCGCACGGGUGCGUAACGCGUGGGAAUCUGCCCUUUGGUUCGGAAUAACAGUUGGAAACGACUGCUAAUACCGGAUGAUGACGAAAGUCCAAAGAUUUAUCGCCAGAGGAUGAGCCCGCGUAGGAUUAGCUAGUUGGUGUGGUAAAGGCGCACCAAGGCCACGAUCCUUAGCUGGUCUGAGAGGAUGAUCAGCCACACUGGGACUGAGACACGGCCCAGACUCCUACGGGAGGCAGCAGUGGGGAAUAUUGGACAAUGGGCGAAAGCCUGAUCCAGCAAUGCCGCGUUAGUGAUGAAGGCCUUAGGGUUGUAAAGCUCUUUUACCCGGGAUGAUAAUGACAGUACCGGGAGAAUAAGCUCCGGCUAACUCCGUGCCAGCCGCCGCGGUAACAC
rnacentral:rRNA from 1 species